AGAAUCAACGCUGGCGGCGUGCCUAACACAUGCAAGUCGAACGAGAAAGUGGUAGCAAUACCAUGAGUAAAGUGGCGCACGGGUGAGUAACACGUGACUAACCUACCCUUGAGUGGGGGAUAACUGAGGGAAACCUUAGCUAAUACCGCAUAAUACCCACGGGUCAAAGGAGCAAUUCGCUCGAGGAGGGGGUCGCGGCCGAUUAGUUAGUUGGCAGGGUAAUGGCCUACCAAGACGAUGAUCGGUAUCCGGCCUGAGAGGGCGCACGGACACACUGGAACUGAAACACGGUCCAGACUCCUACGGGAGGCAGCAGUGGGAAUUUUGCACAAUGGGCGAAAGCCUGAUGCAGCGACGCCGCGUGGGGAUGAAGCAUUUCGGUGUGUAAACCCCUUUCGACCGGGAAGAAUGCCUCGCAAGAGGACUGACGGUACCGGUAUAAGAAGCCCCGGCUAACUACGCGCCAGCAGCCGC
rnacentral:rRNA from 1 species